rnacentral:rRNA from 1 species
AUUGAACGCUGGCGGCAGGCCUAACACAUGCAAGUCGAGCGGAGCGGCGGACGGGAGCGUAAUGCCUAGGAAUCUGCAUGGUCGUGGGGGAUAACGUCAGGAAACGGGAGCUAAUACCAAAUACUAGCAGAAUAGACUAGGUCGGAUUAGGUAGUGGGUGGGGUAAAUGCAUACCAAGACGACGAUCCGUAACUGGUCUGAGAGGAUGAUCAGGCAAACUGGAACUGAGACACGGUCCAUACUCCUACGGUAGGCAGCAGUGGGGAAUAUUGGACAAUGGGCGAAAGCCGGAUCCAGCCAUGCCGCGUGUAUGAAGAAGGUCUUCGGAUUGUAAAGUACUUUAAGUUGGGAGGCGUUACCAACAGAAGAAGCACCGGCUAACUCCGUGCCAGCAGCCGCGGUAAUAC